ensembl:miRNA microRNA 128-1
UGUUUAAUAUUUUGCAAUAAUUGGCCUUGUUCCUGAGCUGUUGGAUUCGGGGCCGUAGCACUGUCUGAGAGGUUUACAUUUCUCACAGUGAACCGG